AAAACAAAGGAAAAAGAAUGAAAGAGGGGUUCUAAUAUGAAUUAGGCUAAUUCUUGUACCCAAAUCAGGCCCAAAUCCCUGCCUAAAAACUACCCAAACCCGUCCAAACUACCCAGGCCCAAAAAUUGACCCGACCCGCCUGACCCAACCUCCCCUUUUUAAAUUAAAAACCUAGCUAGACCUAAGGAUAUAAAUCAGAUCCAUCAGACCUCUAAGAACGAAGAGGGAACGACAGACCUUCUGGGUUCUCUUCUUCAUUUUAAGUUUCUGAAAACACCACAAAACAAGCGACUCCUUCACUCAUACAUACUCAAUUCACACUCUCUUACACACGCCUAAGCCCUAGUAGCAGCUGAAAAUUCUAGAAUUCAAGAUCUGAAUUUCAAAAUUUCAAAAUCUCAAAAACAAACAACAAAACUCAACCAAAAAAGAGUUACAAAGUUGAUUCAAGUCUCAGUUUCACAUGCUUGAUAUUCUCUGGAAAUUUCAAAGCUUAAUCAAGUUGUAAAGGUGUCGUUAUUUAUAGGUUUGCUGUUCUCCGCAUAGCUAGGCUCCAAUUUGCUGAUCUCAGUCCCUAUUUGAGUUGUUUUAAUUUGUUUUACUGCUGAUAAGAGAGUCGCUGCUGGAGCUCACUCUUAUUUCAGACCUUAUUUGGUCAAUUUCGCUGCUGCUUCUGUCUGUUUCAUCGCUGAGCUCCCUGCUCCUUUCUUUGCUUUUAUUCGGGCUAGUUUCGCAAUGUAUUACUGCUGAUUGAGAUCCAUGUAUCUCGGGGCACUAGUGGUUGCUAAUCUUGCCGGUUGGAGGCCUUCUGAGGAGAUUGCGAGGUAGCUGCUUGGCGACCGCAUUUUUGCCCUCUCCUUCCCUAUCUUCCUUUAGUUUAUUUAUGUGGAUAUUCUCAGACCGUGUUGGUCAUGUUAUUUCGAACAGUUGUAGUAGUUUUUGGCUCAUGACUUAGUGACAUCCGAGGUCAGGAUUAUGUUUCUUUCCACUGGAUUUUAAGUUAUACUACUAUCUUAUUGAAUUUCUGUUAAAAUUA